rnacentral:rRNA from 1 species
AGAGUUUGAUCCUGGCUCAGGACGAACGCUGGCGGCACGCUUAACACAUGCAAGUCGAACGAGAGAAGAGGAGCUUGCUUUUCUGAUCUAGUGGCGGACGGGUGAGUAACACGUGAGCAAUCUGCCUUUCAGAGGGGGAUACCGAUUGGAAACGAUCGUUAAUACCGCAUAACAUAAUUGAACCGCAUGAUUUGAUUAUCAAAGAUUUAUCGCUGAAAGAUGAGCUCGCGUCUGAUUAGCUAGUUGGUAAGGUAACGGCUUACCAAGGCGACGAUCAGUAGCCGGACUGAGAGGUUGAUCGGCCACAUUGGGACUGAGACACGGCCCAGACUCCUACGGGAGGCAGCAGUGGGGAAUAUUGCACAAUGGAGGAAACUCUGAUGCAGCGAUGCCGCGUGAGGGAAGAAGGUUUAGGAUUGUAAACCUCUGUCUUCAGGGACGAAAAAAGACGGUACCUGAGGAGGAAGCUCCGGCUAACUACGUGCCAGCAGCCGCGGUAAUACGUAGGGAGCGAGCGUUGUCCGGAAUUACUGGGUGUAAAGGGAGCGUAGGCGGGAUCGCAAGUCAGAUGUGAAAACUAUGGGCUUAACCCAUAAACUGCAUUUGAAACUGUGGUUCUUGAGUGAAGUAGAGGUAAGCGGAAUUCCUAGUGUAGCGGUGAAAUGCGUAGAUAUUAGGGGGAACAUCAGUGGCGAAGGCGGCUUACUGGGCUUUAACUGACGCUGAGGCUCGAAAGCGUGGGGAGCAAACAGGAUUAGAUACCCUGGUAGUCCACGCCGUAAACGAUGAUUACUAGGUGUGGGGGGACUGACCCCUUCCGUGCCGCAGCAAACGCAAUAAGUAAUCCACCUGGGGAGUACGACCGCAAGGUUGAAACUCAAAGGAAUUGACGGGGGCCCGCACAAGCAGUGGAGUAUGUGGAUUAAUUCGAAGCAACGCGAAGAACCUUACCAGGUCUUGACAUCGUAUGCAUAGCUCAGAGAUGAGUGAAAUCUCUUCGGAGACAUAUAGACAGGUGGUGCAUGGUUGUCGUCAGCUCGUGUCGUGAGAUGUUGGGUUAAGUCCCGCAACGAGCGCAACCCUUACUGUUAGUUGCUACGCAAGAGCACUCUAGCAGGACUGCCGUUGACAAAACGGAGGAAGGUGGGGAUGACGUCAAAUCAUCAUGCCCCUUAUGACCUGGGCCUCACACGUACUACAAUGGCUGUCAACAGAGGGAAGCAAAGCCGCGAGGUGGAGCGAACCCCUAAAAGCAGUCUUAGUUCGGAUUGUAGGCUGCAACCCGCCUACAUGAAGUCGGAAUUGCUAGUAAUCGCAGAUCAGCAUGCUGCGGUGAAUACGUUCCCGGGCCUUGUACACACCGCCCGUCACGCCAUGGGAGUCGGUAACACCCGAAGCCUGUAGUCUAACCGCAAGGAGGACGCAGUCGAAGGUGGGAUUGAUGACUGGGGUGAAGUCGUAACAAGGUA